UACGUAGGGUGCAAGCGUUAAUCGGAAUUACUGGGCGUAAAGCGUGCGCAGGCGGUUGUGCAAGGCAGGUGUGAAAUCCCCGGGCUUAACCUGGGAACUGCACUUGUGACUGCACAGCUGGAGUGCGGCAGAGGGGGAUGGAAUUCCGCGUGUAGCAGUGAAAUGCGUAGAUAUGCGGAGGAACACCGAUGGCGAAGGCAGUCCCCUGGGCCUGUACCGACGCUCAUGCACGAAAGCGUGGGGAGCAAACAGG
rnacentral:rRNA from 1 species